rnacentral:rRNA from 1 species
AGCGAACGCUGGCGGCAGGCUUAACACAUGCAAGUCGAGCGGGCACUUGCGGGUGUCCACGGCGGCCGGGUGGGUAACGCGAGGGAACGGGCCCGCUGUUUCGGAAUAACCCAGGGAAACAUACGCUAAUAACUGAUAAGCCCUGUUGGGGAAAGGCUUGCUGCCGGAGGGUCGGCCCGCGUCUGAUUAUCUAGGUGGUGCGUUCACGGCUCACCCAGGCGACAGUCAGAAGCUGGGCUGAGAGGAUGGUCAGCCACACUGGGACUGAGCCACGGCCCCGACUCCUACGGGAGGCAGCAGUGGGGAAUAUUGGACGAGGGGAGCAAGCCUGAAGCAGCCAUGCGGGGUGAGUGAUGAAGGCCUUAGGGUUGUGAAGCUUUUUUAGCCGGGAAGAUAAUGACGGUACCGGAGGAAUAAGCCCCGGCUAACUUCGUG